rnacentral:rRNA from 1 species
GAUGAACGCUAGCUACAGGCUUAACACAUGCAAGUCGCGGGGCAGCAUGGGGGUUGCUUGCAAUCCCCGAUGGCGACCGGCGCACGGGUGAGUAACGCGUAUCCAACCUGCCCUUCACCACGGGAUAACCCGGCGAAAGUCGGACUAAUACCGUAUGUUGUCCAUUGACGGCAUCCGAUUUGGACGAAAGGGUUGGCGGGGAAGGAGGGGGAUGCGGCCGAUUAGCUGGACGGGGGGGUGACGGCCCAGCGUGGCGACGAUCGGUAGGGGUUCUGAGAGGAAGGUCCCCCACACUGGAACUGAGACACGGUCCAGACUCCUACGGGAGGCAGCAGUGAGGAAGAUGGGUCAAUGGGCGUAAGCCUGAACCAGCCAAGUAGCGUGCAGGAUGACGGCCCUAUGGGUGGUAAACUGCUUUUAUGCGGGGAUAAAGUGGCCCACGUGUGGGUUUUUGCAGGUACCGCAUGAAUAAGGACCGGCUAAUUCCGUG